rnacentral:lncRNA from 1 species
UCCGACUCAAUAUAUACACACAAACACACUCAAAUAUCCAACACAAAACCCUGGCCAUCUAAGCUUCUCAUAUUUAGCCACUCUGCCUCCUCUGAGCUUUCAUAUUCGACCACUCCAAGCCUCCCACCCAAUUAGGACUCCUGAAGAUGAAAAAAAAUAGAGAAAAAUUGAGGAAAAAAACUCCACCUAAGCUUCCCGAUUCGACAACUCCAAGCCUCCCAUCUG